GCCGGACAUGGUGGCGCAUGUCUGUAGUCCCAGCUACUCGGGAGGCUGAGGUGGGAGGACUACUUGAGCCCAGGAGUUCUGGGCUAUAGUGUGCUAUGCUGAUCAGGUGUCCGCACUAAGUUUGGCAUCAACGUGAUGACCUCCCGGGAGCAGGGGACCACGAGGUUGCCUAAGGAGGGGUGAACUGGUACAGGUCGGAAACAGAGCAGGUCACAACUCCUGUGCUGAUCAGCAGUGGGAUCGCACCCGUGAAUAGCCACUGCACUCCAGCCUGGGCAACAUAGCGAGACCCCAUCUCU
rnacentral:SRP_RNA from 1 species